AACGAACGCUGGCGGCAGGCCUAACACAUGCAAGUCGAACGAUAAGCCACCUUCGGGUGGUGGACAGUGGCAGACGGGUGAGUAACGCGUGGGAACGUGCCUUUCGGUUCGGGAUAACCCAGGGAAACUUGGGCUAAUACCGGAUACGCCCUUCGGGGGAAAGAUUCAUUGCCGAAAGAUCGGCCCGCGUCGGAUUAGCUAGUUGGUGGGGUAAAAGCCUACCAAGGCGACGAUCCGUAGCUGGUCUGAGAGGAUGACCAGCCACACUGGGACUGAGACACGGCCCAGACUCCUACGGGAGGCAGCAGUGGGGAAUAUUGGACAAUGGGCGCAAGCCUGAUCCAGCCAUGCCGCGUGGGUGAAGAAGGCCUUAGGGUUGUAAACCCCUUUCAGCGGGGAAGAUAAUGA
rnacentral:rRNA from 2 species